GACGAACGCUGGCGGCGCGCUUAACACAUGCAAGUCGAACGGAAAGGCCUGCUUUCCCUUGUGGAUUGCGGGUACUCGAGUGGCGAACGGGUGAGUAACACGUGAGUGAUCUGCCCCCAACUUGGGUAUAAGCCUGGGAAACUGGGUCUAAUUCCCGAUAGGACUGCAGGGUGGUGCCUGUGGUGGAAAACGAUUUUCUAGUGGUUGGGGAUGAGCUCGCGGCCUAUCAGCCUGUUGGUGGGGUAAUGGCCUACCAAGGCGGCGACGGGUAGCCGGCCUGGGAGGGUGGACGGCCACAUUGGGACUGAGAUACGGCCCAGACUCCUACGGGAGGCAGCAGUGGGGAAUAUUGCACAAUGGGCGGAAGCCUGAUGCAGCGACGCCGCGUGGGGGAUGACGGCCUUCGGGUUGUAAACUCCUUUCGACCGCGAGGAAGCCACCUGGUUGGAAGGGUGGUGACGGUAGUGGUAGAAGAAGCACCGGCUAACUACGUG
rnacentral:rRNA from 1 species